rnacentral:rRNA from 1 species
GGCUGAAAUUCGCCUUCACGAAGUCGGAAUUGCUAGUAAUGGCAGGUCAGCAUACUGCCGUGAAUACGUUCCCGGGCCUUGUACACACCGCCCGUCACACCAUGAGAGUUAGGAAUACCCGAAGCCUGUGAGCUAACUUUAAUAGAGGCAGCAGUCGAAGGUAGAACUAAUGAUUGGGGUGAAGUCGUAACAAGGUAAC